rnacentral:misc_RNA from 1 species
UCUCCGUUGGUGAACCAGCGGAGGGAUCAUUACCGAGUUUACAACUCCCAAACCCCUGUGAACAUACCAUUUGUUGCCUCGGCGGUGCCUGCUUCGGCAGCCCGCCAGAGGACCCGAACCCUUGAUUUUAUACAGUAUCUUCUGAGUAAAUGAUUAAAUAAAUCAAAACUUUCAACAACGGAUCUCUUGGUUCUG